rnacentral:tRNA from 1 species
GAGCCAGUGGCUCAGUGGUUAGAGCGCUGGACUUCUGAUCAAGGCUUCUUGGGUUCGAUCCUCGGGUGGUGCA